UGGCUUCAAUAUGCGUGAUCUCCAUACCAGCAUUAACCGCCGUCAUGCAUCUCUCAUAGAUGUCAUACACAUGUUCGCUAAGCGGUCGGGUCGGAUCAGUUACAUAGUUUUCAUAGGAAUGAAUAGCAAUUCUACGGUUCAAUGCUUCUCUAUAUGCCCUAACCGUUCUACGAGCCAUAUCUGUUGCAUUUUCACAUACAUCAUACUUUUUCUUUGCUUAAAGAAAACAUGCGAAUAUUUAAACUUUCAUAUCAUGCAAUUCCC
rnacentral:lncRNA from 1 species